UACGUAGGGGGCUAGCGUUGUCCGGAAUCAUUGGGCGUAAAGAGCGUGUAGGCGGCUCGGUAAGUCCGCUGUGAAAGUCAAAGGCUCAACCUUUGAAUGUCAGUGGAUACUGCCGGGCUAGAGUCCGGAAGAGGCGAGUGGAACUCCUGGUGUAGCGGUGGAAUGCGCAGAUAUCAGGAAGAACACCGGCGGCGAAGGCAGCUCGCUGGGACGGUACUGACGCUGAGACGCGAAAGCGUGGGUAGCAAACAGG
rnacentral:rRNA from 1 species